UACGUAGGCAGCGAGCGUUGUUCGGAGUUACUGGGCGUAAAGAGUGCGUAGGCGGUUUUCUAAGUUUGGUGUGAAAUCUCCCGGCUUAACUGGGAGGGUGCGCCGAAGACUGGAAGGCUUGAGUAUGGGAGAGGUAAGCGGAAUUCCCGGUGUAGCGGUGAAAUGCGUAGAUAUCAGGAGGAACACCUGCGGUGUAGACGGCUUACUGGACCAUAACUGACGCUGAGGCACGAAAGCGUGGGUAGCAAACAGG
rnacentral:rRNA from 1 species